UACGUAGGGUGCGAGCGUUAAUCGGAAUUACUGGGCGUAAAGCGUGCGCAGGCGGUUCGUCGUGUCCGAUGUGAAAGCCCCGGGCUCAACCUGGGAAUGGCAUUGGAAACUGGCGGACUCGAGUGUGGCAGAGGGGGGUGGAAUUCCGCGUGUAGCAGUGAAAUGCGUAGAGAUCCGGAAGAACCCCAGAGGCGAAGGCGGCGUCCUGGCUCACAACUGACGCUCAUACACGACAGCAUGGGGAGCGAACGGG
rnacentral:rRNA from 1 species